UGACAUCGAAGCAACUGAAUUACCAUAUUUCAACAAAACAAAGGGUGCGGCUUACCAUUAGCCAGAACAAACUCAUGAGAAAGAUUUCGUCCGAUAUUUUCGUGGACAAGAUCGCACGGGCACGAUUUACAGAAGCCAUCAAGUGCAAGGUAGUGCACCUGACAUACGAAGCGUCCCCGAGUCGUAACAAGCUAUAAGGACUCUUUAAGACACAACGUGUACCGCUGUAAGUUGACCGUGAACAAACGAAUCCACUAGAUGUCGAACCCCAAUCUAACAUCAUGCAUUUGUUGGAAGAUUGCCCUAUAAGAAACUACUUGACUUCCCACCUAUGAAUUUCCGAAAUAUCUGGUCAUGCAAUCUGUUACACGGAUACAAGGAGUAAUAUCACACAACUCCUAUACUAACCCGUCACCUGUAUCACAUCCGUCAACACACGACCAGAAUCUCGGACCUUCAUCUACAACAGACCCUCGUGAUCACAACGAUACAAAGUAUGGCAGUACCCCCGAACAAUUUGCACCAGUACUGGGGACAUCGGGGUUAUCUCGCCACUACUAGUAUUGAAGCAAUUACGAACAUCCUUCAUUCUGAGAUACUAAGAAAUCUGAAUGAUAACGAUGUGUUCAAGAAUCCCCUGGAGCUCAACUCCCCGGAAGAAAAUCAAGUAACACAGGAGGCACCAAGAC
rnacentral:lncRNA from 1 species